rnacentral:pre_miRNA from 1 species
GAUCUACUCCCUCCGUUCGGAAUUACUUGUCUUGGAAAUGGAUGUAUCUAGAACUAAAAUACAUCUAGAUACAUCCAUUUCCGCGACAAGUAAUUCCGAACGGAGGGAGUAAUAG